UCCAGACUCCUACGGGAGGCAGCAGUGGGGAAUAUUGGGCAAUGGGCGCAAGCCUGACCCAGCAACGCCGCGUGAAGGAAGAAGGCUCUCGGGUUGUAAACUUCUUUUAUCAGGGACGAAGCAAGUGACGGUACCUGAUGAAUAAGCCACGGCUAACUACGUGCCAGCAGCCGCGGUAAUACGUAGGCGGCAAGCGUUAUCCGGAUUUACUGGGUGUAAAGGGCGUGUAGGCGGGAAAGCAAGUCAGAUGUGAAAACCAUGGGCUCAACCUGUGGCCUGCAUUUGAAACUGUUUUUCUUGAGUGCUGGAGAGGCAAUCGGAGUUCCGUGUGUAGCGGUGUAAUGCGUAGAUAUACGGAGGAACACCAGUGGCGAAGGCGGAUUGCUGGACAGUAACUGACGCUGAGGCGCGAAAGCGUGGGGAGCAAACAGGAUUAGAUACCCCAGUAC
rnacentral:rRNA from 1 species